UACGUAGGGUGCAAGCGUUAAUCGGAAUUACUGGGCGUAAAGCGUGCGCAGGCGGUGAUGUAAGACAGUUGUGAAAUCCCCGGGCUCAACCUGGGAACUGCAUCUGUGACUGCAUCGCUGGAGUGCGGCAGAGGGGGAUGGAAUUCCGCGUGUAGCAGUGAAAUGCGUAGAUAUGCGGAGGAACACCGAUGGCGAAGGCAAUCCCCUGGGCCUGCACUGACGCUCAUGCACGAAAGCGUGGGGGAGCAAACAGG
rnacentral:rRNA from 1 species